rnacentral:sRNA from 1 species
AGGAGAAGGGAAUAUGAUGACUUAGGUAGGAAACACUUCUGUCCUUUUCACAGUGACAUAUGUCUGUCUGCUUUCUACUUUGAACCCCCAGGACGCACAGACAUUCGGGUGCUUCAGCCAGAACAACCCCAGCAACCGGCGAGCAAAGCCCCGGUGCUCGGAGCCGGCACCGCCAGCCCGUCAAGAACUCAGGCCACAGUGGCUUGGCCAAUGGCACAGUGAAUGAUGAACCCACAACAGCCACUGAUCCCGAAGAGCCUUCCGUUGUUGGUGUGACGUCCCCACCUGCUGCACCCUUGAGUGUGACCCCGAAUCCCAACACGACUUCUCUCCCUGCCCCAGCCACACCGGCUGAAGGAGAGGAACCCAGCACUUCGGGUACACAGCAGCUCCCAGCGGCUGCCCAGGCCCCCGACGCUCUGCCUGCUGGAUGGGAACAGCGAGAGCUGCCCAACGGACGUGUCUAUUAUGUUGACCACAAUACCAAGACCACCACCUGGGAGCGGCCCCUUCCUCCAGGGUAAGUCAUCAACUGAGAAGACCUGAGACUCU